AAAGUGUUAAUUGCCUGUUCGAUAAAUUUUUUAGAACAGCUAUAGAAUCGAAUAAUUUUAGCAAAAGGUCUGCAAUUCGAUACGGUUAACUUUAUGAUUCAUUUUAACGUGGCUUUCUCAAUAUCUCGUUUAAUUAUCAUUUAUUUCGCGUAUAAUGGAAGUUUCUAAUUUCGAAGGACACACGAAAGUAGACGAGGAAUUUUUUUUUUUUUUUUUUUUUUUCGUCAAAAAAGCUAGUCGAUCGACUACAUUAUGUUGAAGGAGAUCGAGUCACACAUUUUCUACUCUCUGCCUUUCUUGUUUUCUCUCGUUAAAUGAAGUCACGCUAAUUACGCAAUGAUUAAUAACGUGUGUGUCACUUACACGUUAGAAACUUCGCGUGUCACGUGAACUAUGAUGAAACCGAAUCGUUGACACAAGUAAGCCGGAUUCGGUCCAAUUGACGUCUGAAAUUGUUUAACAAACAGGUAUAACACGUCACUAGCGUGAUCAUCACGAUCCAUCAAUUUACAUUAACCGAUAAACGUUUGCUCUCUGCAAAUUUUCCGCUUCGAUUUCCACGGAAACGAGACACAUGUUAUUUAACUAAACAACCAAAGGCGAACGAUUGCGUCAAUUUACUUAAUAUCGCACGUUUGUUCAAGCAUGAAAAAAAACGCGUGAUUUUGAUAGAAAAGAGAAAUUAUAACGCUGGAAAAAAUUCACAUUUUCGAUGUGUGUAUUACCUUAUUUUAUUACAUCGUGUAAAUGUCUUCGUAAAUAUCUCCACUCUUAGAGUGAAUUUUUGAAAAUAUCUCAGUUUACGCUAGUUUUUCGAAGAUAUUUUGCCCUUAACAAUUUUUCAGCCACACGCUCUUGAAAAAUUAUCAGAAAAUUUUUCAGAAAUUAACAAACUCAAAUCAAAUGAACAAACACCUUCUUAUCUUUUCGUAAAAACUUGUUCUUAUCAAAAAGUUCCCAUAUAAGAAAAAAAUUUUUUACGAAAAGAUACGAAGGUAUCUGUUAGAUUCUGGAAAAUUUUCUGAUAAUUUUUCAAGAGUGUGUAGCUCGAUAUAGAUAUAUAUACUGCUUUGAUUCUGAUUGUCUUUGAUUCUCUCCUUUCGAAUUGGAAAAGAAUUUCAAAACAGCAGAAAAAUUAUUUCAACGUGAAAUUUUUGACGCAUUUUCAACUGCUGAUAUCUCACUUGUAUAUUGAUUUUGUCAAUACCACCUAACCACAAUAUUAGCAAUCACUUAAUUGGCAACCCAAUAUUAUUUGAGAAACUUUUCGUCGGUAAGCGAGAAUUUUUAAUAAGACAGAGAUAAAGAUAAAUUUCUUGCAAAAUUUGUACAGCCGUUCUGAAUUUUAAUGUUGGAAUAUAUUAAUCGUGUUCCACUAUAUUCGAACGUUAGAAUUCAGUAUCACUGUACAAAUGUUAGAAUAUUUCAUUAAAAAUUUUCGCAUGUUAAUUACUGACCAAAUGUUUGCCAAAUUAUCCAAAGUCAAUUAAUAUAUGGUAAUUGUUGAAAAUGACAAGGUGAGUUCGUGCUCGCCAUCCAUAUGCAGAUGCGUUAGUUAUAAGAAAUAGUAACUAGAAGAUGGUCCUAGUUACAAUCGAUAGAUUUAAUCGAUAGGCUCAAGAUGCUUUCUUAUUUUUAUCCCUAGUUUUAGUAAGCGCGUGCAAUAAAGGUUCUUUUGGCUUGCAAUGGUGUGAUAGAUUUAUCCAUUCAAUAAAAUAAUCAAUAAUAAUUGUGAUCCUACCUCUGAGUAUAGAAAUAACAACAGUAAUAUUAGAAAUCAUAGGAAUUGUGCAACUUUUUCAAGCAAAUACUUUUCUCUUUGUAUCAUUGGGAAUUUUUCAAUCUAACAUAACCUGUAUGAAAUUGCUAACAACUACAUGCGCGUACAGCUCUGGUUCGUAUAGCUUUCUGCAAGUUUCCGAGCUGCGUGCCCGACGUUUAUAUUUCACAUUUGUUAACCGUACGUUGCUAGGCGAGGAGAACGUGGCUGCAGCCUCUGAUCGUUUCGAGAUAAUUAUAUUCGAGAUAAUAUCCAGAGCGAUAUACACAACGUGCAGACACUGUACAAACUCGUUCCUACCAUUCUUACUACAUAUGUGCGUAUGUACUUUGCAAUUCGAUACAACGAUGUAUUCGUAUUAUAUCAUUCAAUUAAAAAAUAUUUCCAAUCAGACAAGCGACUUCUACUAAUUUUUUUUAUUUAUUAUUAUUAUUUAUUAUUAUUUAUUUAUUUAUUUACUACUUCUUGUUCGUGUUAACUAUAUUUGUAGGAAUUAUAUUUAUCGUUUGUUAAUUUAUUAAUUAUUACUUAAUUUAUUUAUUUCUAUCUUUUUAUUACGUUUCUUUAUUAUUAUUAUUUAUUUGCUUAUUACCAUUGUACAUUAUUUGUUACAUUUAUCAUUCACUUAUCUGUUGCUAUUUAUCGAAAUACUAUUUAUCGUUUCUGAAAACGGAGGAUCGUAGAAAAUUGCUAUUACGUUUCGUAAAAUUAUUAUUCAUAAAUAACAUGUGCGGUAGCGCGAUACCUGUACUUUUCCAAUAGAUCCAAGUGUUUUAGAAUUAUGUACACAGUUCAACCAUUUGUACUAUCUUAGAUCGAAGAAAAAAGAGGAUACGUGCAGGAAAUUGAAGGUUGUUUAAGUUGAUUUACGUUGUCGAUAAGUAGAGUUAAAAAUCUUGUUGAUCGUAUCACGUCAGUUUCCGUAUCAUUAAUUAUCUCCUACCUUCUCCUGUGCUUCCUCCGUGCUAAUCGUUAAAAUUCUUUUUCCCCCUCUUCUUCUUCUUUUUCUUUUUUCUUUCUUUUUUUUUCUAUUUGGAACUGUACCAGCAAUUUCUGCCUCAUUAUACGGAAUAAUUAAUACAGACGUUCCUUCGUGCGAUAAACAGGACGUUAAAAUAUCUAUUGCAAUCCUAGAGAUUCCUUUGUGGAUGACUAUACUCGUUACUUAGUUACCCACUGCAAAUAGAUUCGACUCAUUAAAUCGGUGGGGCCAUUAAUUGGAUUUGAUUGCUUCAUAGGACAUUAAUCUUUCAAUGUAUGACUGUUUUUCAGACGAGAGAACGUUUUCCACCGAUUCUUUCAAAUAUUUUCUUUGCUCGAGAAAUAUCUUUAUCAAAGAUAUAUCUUUCUCUUUCUAGAUGUAUAUCGGUUGGCAACUAAGUGAUUGCGGAUUUUGUCAUUACCACCUUUAUUCAUUAUUACCAUUUUGUCAUUACCACCUAAUGGUAAUAAUGAAUAAAGAUGGUAAUGACAAAAUCCGCAAUCACUUAGUUGCCGACCCAAUGGAAUAGCAUUGUGUAUAUUUUCAAACUGAGAAUUUUCACUUCCACGUGUGAUUUUGAAUAUUUUAAUGUUCAUGCAGAGCAAGAAUACCAUCGUAUUACAUAUAUUAUAAGUAUUCCAUAUUUAUUAUUUCUACAAAAAAAAAAAAAAAAAAAAAAAAAAAGAAAAGAAAAAUCUACAUAACCUUCUUCAAUGUUGAAUUUUUUAAUGUUCAUGCAGAGCAAGAUUAUUACAAAUAUUAUAAGUAUUCCAUAUUUAUUAUUUCUUCACAAAAAAAAGAAGAAAAAUCUACAUAACCUUCUUCAAUGUUGAAUCUUUUAAUGUUCAUGCAGAGCAAAAAUACAAUCGUAUUACACAUAUUAUAAGUAUUCCAUAUUUAUUAUUUCUUCACAAAAGAAAAGAAAAGAAAAAUCUACAUAACCUUCUUCAAUGUUGGACGAAUAUAUGAUUCAAAUUUUUAAUUGAAAUAUCUUCUAAUUUCUUUGUGAAAAUACCAUAAGAAUUGAAUUAAUAUCUUCGUGAAAUCUAUACUUCUCUAAAAUUCAAGCAUUGAUAUAAUGUUUUAUAUUUGUCGAAGAUAUGCUGCAAAGAAUAUAAGAGGGAUUCGCGUUAUGGAAACUCGUGGAAAUAGCCAUUGAAGUAUCUAUACAAUAAAUGUUCAAAGGCACUGAAACGAGAAGGGAAAAAAUAGAAAUAGACUUUUAAUGUUGCGAAAUCGUUUGCUCUGAUAUAUCUUUCAAUUGGAAAGUCAAAUACGGAUUCUAAUUGGAAACUCAAACAUUGCGUUUAAUAAUUGGAUUGGAAAGUCGAGCUGCGCACUACUACCUUCUGCAAACAAUAGGACACGUAUUAUACUUCUUGCAUCUUCUACGAGCUUUUAGUCGUAGUGUGUAUUUGUGAACGAAGAUUUCAACUAUUCACAGAUGUAUAUAAGUGUGAAAAACUUAAAAUCAUAUCUCAAGGAAAACGCGUAUUCUGACUUUGACAUAUGAAGGAGAAAAUUCUCAGCUUUAAAACGUCCGAAAAAUUGCAAACAUCCUGUAUAAUAGUAUGCAAAUACAUUGACUGAUAAAGCAAGUUUAAAAUUCAUGUUUAUGUAUAAUAGCUAUUAUACUGCAUUAAUAGUACCUUGUUGUAGUGGACAUCUUUUAGAAUAUUGAUAACACUUAAGAUAACAGUUAAGAUAAGUUUAGAAUAUUGUUAACACUUAAGUUAAGAUAUAUUACCUACCUAAUUUAAUUGUUUCUGUCAAAUAUAAUUCUGUUUUCUCAAA